rnacentral:lncRNA from 1 species
UGUGAUUGUGUUUAAGAAGAGGUUCCCAAUUGUUACAAAAAAAGAAAAAAAAAUGCAGCCUAGCAACUACGGUGAACUUUUCAAGGCAGGUGUGAUUCAUCAUCCAGAAAACUCGAGGUCAGUUUUUUUUUGAAGUUGCAGAGUUUUAUGUAGGAGAGAUUACAUAUCUAUUUUUCUAUAAUUUUAUAUAUUAAAGUUUUUGGGUGUUUUUCUUUAUUUUACAGGUUUACGUAUCUGUUUAUGAAUUUUCUUAUUUCUAAGUAUUUGUUAUUCCUAUGCUUUGAGCCAUAGGAGUAUAUAAAGGUAAAAUGAUAUGAAAAAGACACAAAAAAAAAAUUUAAAAAUAUUUCUGAUAUAUUCCAGAUUUUUCUUAUUAAAAUUUGUAGUUUGCAAACUUGAUUUUGGGAGGCUUAGCUCAUGCUAAACCUAGCAAAAUCUCUUGACAAUAACCUUAAGAGGUCAUGAAGAAAAGUAAAACAAAACAAAACAAAAACAUAAAUAAGGGAAAAAGAUCAGUCAUAUGCUUGGUUUAGUCUUCUUUAUGUGACUAGACAGUGUAGUGUCCUGGAGUUUCAAUGUCCAACCCCUUUAGCUUAGCUACUGAUUCCACAUGUCCCUUGAGUGUGUGCAGCUCCCUAAGCCUGUUGUUAACAUUUUAAACAUUCACUUAAUAAGUGUUUAGUUCCAGACAAAGAAUUGAUAAUGCUACAACGUUGAGAUAAAGAUUUAUUUUUACCUAGCGAUCUCAGCUCUUUUCUUGGCUUGCUCUGCAAUCUCAGACAAUUCUCUGUAACCUCCUUUCUCAGGGAUGAUGUUAACAGGUUCUUUUGGCUGUAAACCAUGAAGUGUCCUCUGAGCAACUGCCCACUGAGCCUCCCUCUCUUCUUUUCCAAAAUCUUUC